UACGUAGGGGGCAAGCGUUAUCCGGAUUUACUGGGUGUAAAGGGAGCGCAGACGGAACUGCAAGUCUGAUGUGAAAGCCCGGGGCUCAACCGCGGGACUGCAUUGGAAACUGUAGAUCUGGAGUGCCGGAGGGGCAAGCGGAAUUCCUGGUGUAGCGGUGAAAUGCGUAGAUAUCAGGAGGAACACCGGCGGCGAAGGCGGCUUGCUGGACGGCAACUGACGUUGAGGCUCGAAAGCGUGGGGAGCGAACAAGAUUAGAUACCCUGGUA
rnacentral:rRNA from 1 species